GCUGGUAAGAGCAGUGGCCAUGGGGGACCCUGGACUGUCCAAGCUGCAGUUUGCCCCCUUUAAUAGUGCCCUGGACGUUGGCUUCUGGCACGAACUGACCCAGAAGAAGUUGAACGAGUAUCGCCUGGACGAGGCACCCAAAGACAUCAAGGGCUAUUACUACAAUGGUGACUCUGCCGGCCUCCCCACCCGCUUGACAUUGGAGUUCAGUGCUUUUGACAUGUGAGUAUCGAUUUGUGUAGAGUCCAAAGGAUCCUGCUUACUCUGGGCGAGGAAUGAACAUUUUCUUCAGGUGGGCCUCUAAGCAGCCAGGAAGCUCCCAUGAAGUGCUGCAGCUGAAGUCUGUCUGCUACGGUUGAUUAUUAGGGGAAAGAUGAGUCUUUUUAAGAACCAGCCAUGUGCCUGGUGCUGUCUAGAUUGACUGGUCCUCAGAUAGCAGUUCUCCAGAUCAUUAUAGAAUAUUUCAUGAUUCUUUCUUAGCACCUAUUUGUUCUAAAGAUUUGUUCCUUUUUAUUUGUUUUUUAUAUAUAAGUGUUUGCCUGCAUGUAUGUUUGUGCUCCACAUGUAUGCAGU
rnacentral:lncRNA from 1 species